rnacentral:rRNA from 1 species
AUACGGAGGGUGCAAGCGUUACUCGGAAUCACUGGGCGUAAAGCGCGCGCAGGCGGCUAUUUAAGUUGGAUGUGAAAGCCUAUGGCUCAACCAUAGAACUGCAUCCAAAACUAUUUAGCUAGAGUGUGGGAGAGGAAGAUGGAAUUAGUUGUGUAGGGGUAAAAUCCGUAGAGAUAACUAGGAAUACCAAAAGCGAAGGCAAUCUUCUGGAACACUACUGACGCUGAGGCGCGAAAGCGUAGGGAGCAAACAGGAUUAGAAACCCUAGUAGUCC